CCCUUAGAUGUUCUGGGCCGCACGCGCGCUACACUGACGAAUGCAACGAGCUUAUAACCUUGGCCGAAAGGUCUGGGUAAUCUCCAAAUUUCGUCGUGAUGGGGAUAGAUUAUUGCAAUUAUUAAUCUUCAACGAGGAAUGCCUAGUAAGCGCAAGUCAUCAGCUUGCGUUGAUUACGUCCCCGCCCUUUGUACACACCGCCCGUCGCUCCUACCGAUUGAAUGGUCCGGUGAAGCGUUCGGACCGUGGCCUUUGGACGGUUCGCCGUCUGUUGGCUGCGGGAAGUUCGUUAAACCUUAUCAUUUAGAGGAAGGAGAANUCGUAACA
rnacentral:rRNA from 1 species